GAUGAGAACGUAGCGAAAUGCGAUAAGUAAUGUGAAUUGCAGAAUUCAGUGAAUCAUCGAAUCUUUGAACGCACAUUGCGCCCAUCAGUAUUCUGUUGGGCAUGCCUGUCCGAGCGUCAUUUCAACCCUCAGGGCCCGUUCGCGGGAACUGGUGUUGGGGAUCGGCCUCCCCCCGGAGGCCGGCCCCGAAAUGCAGUGGCGGCUCUACCGCGAUCUCCUCUGUGUAGUAGCGAUACCUCGCAGCUGGAUAGUGGUGGUGCCACGCCGUAAAAUCCCAACUUUACCAAGGUUGACCUCGGAUCAGGUAGGAAUACCCGCUGAACUUAAGCAUAUCAAUAAGCGGAGGA
rnacentral:misc_RNA from 1 species